UGGCAGGCUCUAUCUUUCCACUCAGACACAAGGCUGAUCUUGCUGGCCCAACACUUCCCAUUUAAGAGCUUCUUUCUUAAAAUAUUUGCUUAACAAACUUAAACUGUUAGAAAACUUUUAUUUUUGUUUUUCCUGGGAGGAAAUGUUAAAAGGCUGCAGUACUAUAGAAUAUUUUUAAGUAUUUCCCCAGAAUCACAACUUAACAUUAAUCCAGAAAAACUGUGAUAACCAAAAUACUCCAGGACAGAGAUAACCUACUAAUUAUAUUCUCUUGGAAGAUAAAUGUUAAAAACUUAAGUGUACUUGGAGCUCCAACUUGAAUUAUUAAAAUCUUUAAAGAAUGUAGAGUUCUCCUUCCCCAUGCUGACUGGGCCAUAAGAGGAGUCUUCACACUGAACUCUGAUGUGAGUCCCUGAAGGAUACAAUCUGUAGAAGAAAAAAAAAGUGGCCACACAGUCCCAUAUUCUGAUGAUAGGCUGCUGGCUGCAGUGCUGUUUCCAACUGUUUCCUGGUCCUCCCUGCUUUGCCAGUGGCCAUAGUGAACUUGCUGAUGGACGUAAAUGCAACUUGAAGGAGUUUGUUUAUAUGGUGAGUUACAUUCAUUGAUUUACAUGUGUUGAACCAACUCAACAUUCUGGGGUGAAGACUACUUAAUCAUGGUGGAUGAUCUCUUUGAUGUGUUCUUGAAUUUUGUUUCCUGCAUGUGAUGAUGAUGGACCUGUUACGAGAAUCAAACCAGUUUACCUAGCUGGUGGCUAUGACAUGGACUGAUGAUAAGGAAUAAACCCGAGAGAUACAAAUAGUUGCAUCACAGACCAUGUCAUUGGGUCAGACCUCCAGCUGCCUGGAGAUGAUAGUGCUAUGAAGACCAAACAUAGAAGACAGCCCAGGUCAUAAAAACACACACUGGAGUCUCAGAUGAUGAUGCAGGCUGUCCAGGAGACAGUGAUCAGAAUCAGUUCCAGAAUGGGGAAGACAAUCUCCAGGAUGAGCACCAAAUGGGCCAAUGGAAUUCCUGUCCUUUAUAAAGGUCUUAGUUGUCUUUGGUGAGGUAGACCAGAAAGCCUAGCAGGGCUACAAGGAGGAUGGUGAUGCAAAUGGUGUGGGUGGCCUACAGUUCUUGAGGCAGAGCCAGCAGAAGACUCUGUAGUGAGCCAUGCUCUGGACCAGGCAGGACAUAUACAAUCCUUCUGUGCCAGCGAGCAUGGCACAAAUGCAACUGCUGAGGCAGUCACCUUCCUCAAGUGUGGGUGCUGGAAAUUCACCUAGCUAAGUAGUGUCAGGAUCAUGCUUGGGAUUUUCAAAGCAAUGGAGACCUGCAAAGCUUGAGUGUAUAAAAAGGAAAAUAACCUGUGGGCUAGGUUGAAGAUGGAGGUAGGCAUCAUUCAACCAUCAUGUGCCUAAUUGAUGAAGCAGAAGAGACUCUGCUCUGCACAGCCUUCUCAAGGGGAAUGCUCUAGUGACCUGCUUUUUCAAGAUUCCAGGAGUAAGGAGGUUGGUGUGGUGGCAGUGGUAAGCCUGCUUACUCAUUUAGGGGACCUGGUGACUAAGGCAUGGCCCCUAGAGUCUAAAAGAGCUGUUCUGACCUUUGAUAUUUUACUUAACCUUUCUGGGCCUCAGUUUCCUACCCUACAAGAUAAAGGCAGCAAGAUUACAUUUUAUUUAUUUAAUUUGAACGUGUAUGGGUCUUUUACUGUAUGUAUCUAUGCUUGCACCUCAUGUGUGCAGUGCCAUGUAAGCCAGAAGAGGGUGUUGAAACCCCUGGAAAUGGAUUACAGAUUGUUGUUGUAAGCUACAAUGUGGGUGCUGGAAACCAAACCUGGCCCCAAGGAAAAGCAACUGGUGCCCUUAACUGCUGCUUUAUCUUCUUUAUCUUUCCAGCCCCAGCAAGAUUGCUUUUUUUUUCUCUCUGGUCUUUUCAGACAGGGUUUCUCUGUGUAGCCUUGGCUGUUCUGGAACUCACUCUAUAGACUAGGCUGGCCUCAAACUCACAGAGAUCCAUCUGCCUCUGCUUCUCAAGUGCUGGGAUUAAAGGCAUGUGCCACCACCAAGACUGCAUUUUAAUGUAUACAUUUAAUCAUAUCCUAAGAAGUGUAUUAAGCAGUACAUGAUAAAUCCUAAAUAAAUACUGUGAACUGUCUUAAUUAUUGUUGUUUUGCUGCUAUAUCCCCUGGACCCCUAAGAAACUUCGGUUGAUUCUUCUGAUGAGUUGUUUCAUGGCUGAGCUCCCUUCCAACUUCCUGCCAACCACAAUAUCUCCCACCACCCAUGGACUGGAACAUCUGUAGGAUGGUAUCC
rnacentral:lncRNA from 1 species